UAUGGCCACAUCGUGUUGAAGCAUCGGUUCCCAUACGAUAAUCAAAGUUAAGCAACGUCAAACUUGGUCAGUACCUAGAUGAGUGACUGCUUGGGAAUACCAGGUGCUGUAAG